AUUGAACGCUGGCGGCAGGCCUAACACAUGCAAGUCGAGCGGAUGAAGGGAGCUUGCUCCUGGAUUCAGCGGCGGACGGGUGAGUAAUGCCUAGGAAUCUGCCUGGUAGUGGGGGAUAACGUCCGGAAACGGUCGCUAAUACCGCAUACGUCCUGAGGGAGAAAGUGGGGGAUCUUCGGACCUCACGCUAUCAGAUGAGCCUAGGUCGGAUUAGCUAGUUGGUGGGGUAAAGGCCUACCAAGGCGACGAUCCGUAACUGGUCUGAGAGGAUGAUCAGUCACACUGGAACUGAGACACGGUCCAGACUCCUACGGGAGGCAGCAGUGGGGAAUAUUGGACAAUGGGCGAAAGCCUGAUCCAGCCAUGCCGCGUGUGUGAAGAAGGUCUUCGGAUUGUAAAGCACUUUAAGUUGGGAGGAAGGGCAGUAAGUUAAUACCUUGCUGUUUUGACGUUACCAACAGAAUAAGCACCGGCUAACUUCGU
rnacentral:rRNA from 1 species